rnacentral:snRNA from 1 species
GUGCUCGCUUCGGCAGCACAUGUAAUAAAACUGGAACGACACAGAGAAGAUUAGCAUGGCCCCGGGAAGUGGAUGACACGCCAGUUUGUGAAGCGUUCCAUACUUAA